CCCGCCCGUCAAUUACGCCAUUCCCACCAAAUCCUUCCCCGUCUGCCGCGCACGCGCUGCACGCAAUCCCCUCCCCUCCACAGACCUCGUCCCUCCCGCCGCCACCUCUCCGCCGCCACCCCUCCUCCUUUCUCGCCCCCCGCUCUCCCCCGCGGCCCUUCCACUCCCCUCCCCCAGCGACGCAACGUGCCUGGCUGCAGCGUGACUCGCGCGGCCUGCGAGGUGGCACGGCGGCCUGGAGGACACGAGAUCUGCAGGCUGCGGCCCACUCGCCUCCUACCCUCCCCCUCCCACGUCGGAGUCUUCCCGCUAUUGCCGCCGACGAGGCACGGCGGCCUGGAUGCCACGCAACGGCGAGGCAACGGCCGGCAUAGCCAGGCGGGGCCGCAGUCUUGCCAUUCAAGAUCAUGGAGAACCACGUCGCCGGCCCGCCGGGAACCGACGUCCACCGCUCCGCCACCGUCUCACCAUUGCAGAUAAAAAAGAAGCCCGCCGGGAAUCGACGUACGCUGCCGCAACCAUCACCCCAUCAGAGAUUACUCCGUCAACAUCAUGUGCGUCCAAAGCCAAAACACAGCACUCCAGUUACAAGCCCAAUUCAGUUUUGGUUAAUAUUUUUCUCCACAGAAUAAUUUAGUUUAUGUAUACAAGUGCAUCCAUGAAUUAUUUGUAAUAAACAUCGGGCAUUAUUUGUAUAGUAUAAACUGCAGAUGGUCCCGUUCCUUUAAGCUAUUCUCAGCAAGACAACUUGCAGCCUCAGUCAACAGUUCUGGAUACAACCAUCGAAACAAAUGAAGAUAAUCAGUGGCUCCAUAGGGAAUCAAACAAUACUGACUGUCGGUACCCUGUAGUAGGGAUACCCACUCCUACUGCAGUAAGGCAUGACUCGCGUGGUCAUCCAUAACUACGCACUAAGGGGUGGAGCAGCCGGGCCCCAGGGGUCAGGCUCUUACCCCACCGGGCCAACGGCCCCGGACCCGUUCCCCGCUCCGGGAUGGGUCCGGUGACGCCACGUGUCCCUGAGGAGGGGAAGCUCCGCGCCAACAGCCGAGGGCUCGGACCCCCCAUAGGGGUCCGGGACCUCCCCGCGUCCGUCCGGACCUCCCACGCGCGUAGAACCAAUAUACCACCGGGGCGGGGUCUGGGGGUGCCACGUGUCCCGCAGGCGCGGGCGCGAGUCUUCCGCUGGAAGACUCCCCCACCCACCGCAUUCAAUGCGGGUGGUUGAGGCGUGCUCUGCCGCCGCGGCACGCGGGGCAGCUUUUGUCAGGCCUCGCUGUAGACGCAUAUUACCGAGGUACACAGUGCAGCCUCAUCCGCGCAGAGCCCGUCUGCCGCAUUAAAUGGAUACGAUGGCACGGCACCCUUUCAUCAUACCGCCUACACCGCAAGCUACACGGCCUGUUCAGCUACGCGGCAGGCUACGUCGCAAGCUACGCCCUGGCACCGUUUCGACAAGACAUGGCAUGGCUAUGCCGGACGGAAGAUUCCCACGGGCAAAGCAAGGAAGUCCCGGAAUAAGAUCUUUCCCAGGCGUAGCACCAUAAUAGCGUUAGGCCAUUCGUAUUAAAUACAACAUCGUUGGACCCACCUGUCGGGGACUCAACGGCCAUGUACGCGCCUCCCUUGAGAUAUAAAGGGGAGGCGCUCGCUGCGCACGCAAGUCUCUCUGGACUCUCUGGAGACUCGCUGGACACUCUCACAACACAGGCUCGGAUUCACUUCGAACAACCCCAUUCUCAACCUCUUGAGAGCACAAGCAAUACAAUACACAGUGGACGUAGGGUAUUACGCUCCGGCGGCCCGAACCACUCUAAACCCUCUGUGUUCAUCGUGUUCUUGCAUCUAUCUAGAUUGGACUAAUCCUAGCUACCCCCGAGUACUUACCCUCUAGGAUUAGGCGGGUGCACUACGCCACCCGGCUGUAGGUUUGCAGACCACGACACUGACAAUGUCAUGCAGCAAUUUUCAGGUAGCUUUGUCUUAACCAAACUUUUGGAUACUCUAUUAUAUGAUAUAAUCAGUCCAACUUUUGAUACCUAUAACUUGGGAUAUCAUUUUUAUUGCUAAUUUCUUUCAUGACUUGCAUUUUGCAGUCACUGUCGCAUUGUUCAGUACAAGACAGCCUACUAUUCAUUUUAUCUUCCUGUUCCUUUCAAUUGUCUGGAUGGUACUCUUAGCAUUUAAUAAGAUGUCUCUGCUAACAAUAUUAUACUCCAUUCAAGGUUCCAUGUGCACUUUUGCUGGCUGGUGAGAACUUGGAUUGGUGAUGUACAGAACAUUCUUGUUGAAUUGGGAGCAUACUUUAUUUCAAAAAAAAAAGAAAGAAUUGGGAACAUACUUUCAAGUCCAGGAUGAUUAUCCAGAUUGUUUUGGUGAUCCUGAAUUCAUUGGCAAGAUUAGCACUUGCAGCUUCUUUGUUACUAAUUUGAUCUUAGUGUUACUGUGCAGUAGUCUGCGGCCAAUGCUCUAUUUUUUUUAAUUUAUGAUGGUCUUAUCAACAUGAACUCUUGUCACAGAUCGGAACUGGUUUUUGGAUACAAGAAGUGCUCUUGGUUAGUUGUGCAAGCUCUCGAACAUGCUGAUGAGGACCAAAAGAAAAUCGUAUUUGUAAGUACUUUUAAUUUGGCUAAUUUUCAGAACAAAGAAGAUAGUGCCUGAACUCCUCAUAUCUGGACAAGAAAAUUAUGGGAAGUCCGAUGCAGUUUGUGUUGCAGAGGUGAAGGACAUGUACCAAAAACUUAAACUGGAGUUCUUUUCAGAUUGGUAUAGGUGAUGUCAGUAACAUGCCUGACUUUACCUUUGUGGAAAAUGUGACCCAUGCCAAUAUUUGUGCUGAACAAGCCUUGUGUUCAGAUGCAGCUUCUGUUGCUGGGAAGGUACAUUUGUAUAGAUAACAGGGCUAUGUUUCAGUGAUAUUACUUUUAUGGUUAAUUCUGUGCAUUGAAUUUUUAAAGCCAUUUUUGUCACCAAUGAGAAACCUAUGGAAACAUGGGAGUUUAUGAAUUGCAUAAUGGAAGCUAUGGCCUGUCAGAGGUAUUUCUCCCUCCCUCUUUGCCCCUCUCAACUGAUUUGCAGACAUCCAUCUUAUUGUCUCUCAGCACUCUGUCUUGACUCAGUUGAAUUUAAGUCUUGCUUCCGUUCGUGCUUAUUAGCUGAUGAGAGAUGCCGGAUCCAAUCAAUGUUCCUUACUGAUUCUGAUUAUAUUACUUUUGUUACUCUGCUAAGCAAGUUCAUUCUGAGCUGACAUCACUUUCUAAACUGGUAUAUGGGUAGGCUAUCUGUUACUACAUUCAUUGUUGAUUAGUUGAAUUGAUGUAUGUUUCAGAGCUUUGGGAAUUGACUUAGCAUGGAUUGAUUAUGGGAAAAUGUUGUUUUAAGCUCAAUUUCUCCAUGAUACCUUGCAAACAUUUUGACACUACAAAAUGAGUUCCUGCAGAAUUCAGUUGGUUUCAAGGAUCCAUUACUGAAUAGUGGUGUAUCCAGUUAAUCAUAAAUGUUUUUUACUGAAUAUGUUAUUUAUGUCCAAAAUAUCAUAUCUGAAUAUCUACACUGCUCUAAAGUUUUUGUAAUUAUUUGCGCAUGAUAGGUCUUUGUCAAGAAUCUGUGCAAGGAUCGCGCUGCCUGGCCACUCAACAAUAUGGAAAGCUCAUACAAGUUUACGGUGAAGCAUGUGCAGCUCUGGAAAGUGGCCUUCCACAGCACCUCUCCUAGAUGGGUCCAUUGCUUCUACCUCGCUGCUCUCGCCUCAUUCUAGCCAAGUGGCGACUUCCAUGGCAUCACCGCGGGGGUGGUCGAUCUGGGAGAUGGUGCUGGAGACCGUCGCGGCGUACCACAACCAAGAGCGGAUGAGGCGCAAGCUGCGCAAGAUCCUAAUAUUUGUAGUGGCUCAUUUCCUGCUCCUAUAUUCAAGGUUCUUUUGAGGAAUCGAGUGAUAAGUAAAGGGAGCAAGCUAAAAAGUUGAUGGAGUGAUAAGUAAAGGGAGCAAGCUAAAAAGUUGAUGGAGUACCGGAUAUUAUUUUUGUUUCCUCCUAAUUAUGAUGAUCAUUUGCUAAUACCACUCUACCAUAUAAUAGAUAUCGAGUUACUGAUUCUGUUUAUGUUAUUGUCUCAUUAGAACAAAUUAGAGGAGCUUUAAAAGUUUUAA